rnacentral:rRNA from 1 species
UACGUAGGGUGCAAGCGGUAAUCGGAAUUACUGGGCGUAAAGCGUGCGCAGGCGGUGAUGUAAGACAGAUGGGAAAUCCCCGGGCUCAACCUGGGAACUGCAUCUGUGACUGCAUUGCUGGAGCGCGGCAGAGGGGGAUGGAAUUCCGCGUGUAGCAGUGAAAUGCGUAGAUAUGCGGAGGAACACCGAUGGCGAAGGCAAUCCCCUGGGCCUGCACUGACGCUCAUGCACGAAAGCGUGGGGAGCAAACAGG